UGGGGCCUUCAAAGAGGUCAUUAAAGUAAAAUGAGGUCAUAUUGUAUGGCCCUGAUCCAAUCAGGUGUCCUUAUAAGAAGAGAUUAGGACACAGACAUGCAUGCCCACGGAGAGGAGACCAUGUGAAGACACAGUCAGGAUGAGACCAGCUACAGACCACAGAGGGAGGCCUUGGAAGAAGUCAAUCCUGCCGACACAUUGAUCCAGGACUUCUUGCCUCCAGAGCGGGGGUGUCAUCUGUAAACUAACUGCUAUCAUUUCAUCUCUCCAUUCUUCAAGAAACAUUUCUACCCCUGGAUUAUCACUUUCUUGUCUGGCAGGGAAGGUGAAGUGUAUCUGCAAUGCUGAUCAUCUUGGGACAAUGCACAUUGCACAAAUGCACAUACAGCUGAUCCUUUGAACACGUGGAUUUGAACACGUGGAUUUGAACACAUGGAUUUCCUGUUGCUUCUGCCACCCCUCAGAAAGCAAGACGAACUUCUCCUCUUCCUACUCUUCCUCAGGCUACUCAAUGUAAAGUUGAUGAGGAUAAAAACCUUUAUGAUGAUUCACUUCCACUUAAAAAAUAGUAAAUAUGUUCUCCCCCUUAUGAUUUUGUUAAUAACAUUUUCUUUUCUCUAGCUUACUUUAUUGUAAAAAUACAGCAUAUAAUACGUACAAUAUAGACAGUGUGGUGAUUCCUCAAAGACCUAAAGACAGAAAUAUAUUCAACCUAGCAAUCCUAUUACUGGGUAUAUACCCAAAGGAAUAUAAAUUAGUCUAUUAUAAAGACACAUGCACACAUAUGUUCAUUGCAACGCUAUUCACACUAGCAAAGACAUGGAAUCAAUCUAAAUGCCCAUCAAUGGUAGACUGGAUAAAGAAAAUGUGGUACAUUGACACCAUGGAAUACUAUCCCACCAUACAAAAGAACAAGAUCGUGUCCUUUGCAGGAACAUGGAUGAAGCUGGAAGCCAUUAUCCUUAGCAAACUAACACAAGAACAGAAAACCAAAUACUGCAUGUUUUCACUUAUAAGUGGGAGCUAAAUGAUGAGAACACGUGGACAUAUAGAGGGGAACGACACACACUGGGGCCUGUUAGAGGGUGGAGGUUGGGAGGAGGGAGAGGAUCAGGAAAAAUAACCAAUGGGUACUAGGCUUAAUACUUGGGUGAUGAAAUAAUCUGUACAACAAACUCCCAUGACACGUUUACCUAUGUAACAAACCUGCACGUGUACCCCUGAACUUAAAAUAAAAGUUAAAAAAAACACCAAAAUAUAUGUUAACUGACUACAUUAUCAGUAAGGCUUUCAGUCAACAGUAAGCUAUUAGUAGUUACAUUUGGGGGGAGUCAGAAAUUAUACAUGGAUCUUCAAUUGCGUGGCGGUCAGUAUCUCUAAAUCUCUAACGCUUGCAUUGUUCAAAGACCUCCAAUAUCCUGUGUUCCUGAUUUUAAAAAUUGCAACCUACUUAGAUCAAGUUAUCGGCCUUGACAUACAUAAGUAGCCUAAGAAAAAGACCUAAAAAUUAAACUGAGGAGGGCAACAGGAGAGUGCAAAGCUGGAGAGGAAGGUGUAGGGUGGCCUAUACCAUGGGGAAACAAAGUGAGGCUAGGCAUGAAAACCAAGUUACCUUCCCAUACCAGCCCAGAGCUUGCCUCAGUACACACAGCGACACUGGGAAAAAAAAUGCGAUUUAUUUAUUUAUUUAGUGAACACUUCAAAAAUGAUGACUUAAAUAUUUGGGAUUUGGUUGGCAAAUUGAAAACACUCUAACAAAACAUAUUUAGUGAACACUUCAAAAAUGAUGAUUUAAACAUUUGGGGUUUGGUUGGCAAAUUGAAAACACUCUAACAAAACACUUUUACCCUUCAAUGUCUAAUCUCUCUGAAGGGUUUUGAUACCUUCUUAUUUCUCUCACCGACAGUUUCUUAGAAAGCCUUUUGAUGUCAAGAAGAUCUUCCUAUGUGACUCUUGAGAGUACUCGUUGUUUUUUCCUAAGAAUCAGGAAUUUACUCACUUUCUUUGAAGUAAGCAAACAAAAAAUAUUAAAAGUUACUUGUUUUCAGUUCACAACUUCAACCCCCAAGUAAAGCAGACAACUCUAGCAGUCUUUAUCUUCUACC
rnacentral:lncRNA from 10 species